rnacentral:lncRNA from 1 species
AAUUUAUUUUUCCAAAUUGCUCGUUAUAUCCUCAGGAUGUUCUGUUUUAUUUUGACCGAAGCCGUAUGUAGAUUCCAUAUGAGAGUUAUCCCCCUUUUAUGUUUGAUAUAAGUAUAUGCAUUUCUAACUGGUAAACCAUAAGUGAUAGAGACCUAGGGUCUUUUGAUUUGAGAUCCUUGGUCCAAAAAAUGAAAAUAAGGUCAAGG